rnacentral:rRNA from 1 species
UGGCAGUCAGAGGCGAUGAAGGACGUGCUAAUCUGCGAUAAGCGUCGGUAAGGUGAUAUGAACCGUUAUAACCGGCGAUUUCCGAAUGGGGAAACCCAGUGUGAUUCGUCACACUAUCAUUAACUGAAUCCAUAGGUUAAUGAGGCGAACCGGGGGAACUGAAACAUCUAAGUACCCCGAGGAAAAGAAAUCAACCGAGAUUCCCCCAGUAGCGGCGAGCGAACGGGGAGCAGCCCAGAGCCUGAAUCAGUGUGUGUGUUAGUGGAAGCGUCUGGAAAGGCGUGCGAUACAGGGUGACAGCCCCGUACACAAAAAUGCACAUACUGUGAGCUCGAUGAGUAGGGCGGGACACGUGGUAUCCUGUCUGAAUAUGGGGGGACCAUCCUCCAAGGCUAAAUACUCCUGACUGACCGAUAGUGAACCAGUACCGUGAGGGAAAGGCGAAAAGAACCCCGGCGAGGGGAGUGAAAAAGAACCUGAAACCGUGUACGUACAAGCAGUGGGAGCACGCUUAGGCGUGUGACUGCGUACCUUUUGUAUAAUGGGUCAGCGACUUAUAUUCUGUAGCAAGGUUAACCGAAUAGGGGAGCCGAAGGGAAACCGAGUCUUAACUGGGCGUUAAGUUGCAGGGUAUAGACCCGAAACCCGGUGAUCUAGCCAUGGGCAGGUUGAAGGUUGGGUAACACUAACUGGAGGACCGAACCGACUAAUGUUGAAAAAUUAGCGGAUGACUUGUGGCUGGGGGUGAAAGGCCAAUCAAACCGGGAGAUAGCUGGUUCUCCCCGAAAGCUAUUUAGGUAGCGCCUCGUGAAUUCAUCUCCGGGGGUAGAGCACUGUUUCGGCAAGGGGGUCAUCCCGACUUACCAACCCGAUGCAAACUGCGAAUACCGGAGAAUGUUAUCACGGGAGACACACGGCGGGUGCUAACGUCCGUCGUGAAGAGGGAAACAACCCAGACCGCCAGCUAAGGUCCCAAAGUCAUGGUUAAG